UAAAAUUUAAUAAAAAAAGAGCCGAUGUACUUCAUAUGAUGAAUAUGCCACUGGUUUAGAUGAGAAAUUAAGGUAAUUGAAUAUAUAAAUGUAUGCAGCCUUAAAUCAUUGAUAACAAAAAACGAAGAAUUUGAACAAAGUACCAGUUAAACAUGUUUUAAAAUAAACUUCAAUUGAAAAUUGUAUACAUUUUAACUACCAAAUAAAUUACAAUGUUAUCAUAGUUUUUUUUACAAGAAGUUAUGCUUUGUUUUAUGGAGCAAAAAAUAUUCUGUCCAUAUAAAUCGAAAAAUAGUACAAAAAAUG